UACGGAGGAUCCAAGCGUUAUCCGGAUUUAUUGGGUUUAAAGGGUGCGUAGGCGGCCUAUUAAGUCAGGGGUGAAAGACGGUGGCUCAACCAUCGCAGUGCCCUUGAUACUGAAGAGCUUGAAUGAACUAGAGGUAGGCGGAAUGUGACAAGUAGCGGUGAAAUGCAUAGAUAUGUCACAGAACACCGAUUGCGAAGGCAGCUUACUAUGGUUAUAUUGACGCUGAGGCACGAAAGCGUGGGGAUCAAACAGG
rnacentral:rRNA from 1 species